rnacentral:rRNA from 1 species
UACAGAGGUCCCAAGCGUUGUUCGGAUUCAUUGGGCGUAAAGCGCGCGUAGGCGGCCCUGUAAGUCCGUUGUGAAAGUCAAAGGCUCAACCUUUGAAAGCCGAUGGAUACUGCAGGGCUAGAGUCCGGAAGAGGCGAGUGGAAUUCCUGGUGUAGCGGUGGAAUGCGCAGAUAUCAGGAGGAACACCAAUAGCGAAGGCAGCUCGCUGGGACGGUACUGACGCUAAGGCGCGAAAGCGUGGGGAGCGAACAGG